UACGGAGGAUGCGAGCGUUAUCCGGAUUUAUUAGGUUUAAAGGGUGUGUAGGCGGAAGAUUAAGUCAGUGGUGAAAUCUCACAGCUCAACUGUGAAACUGCCAUAGAUACUGGUUUUCUUGAGUACAGUUGAAGUAGGCGGAAUGUGUAAUGUAGCGGUGAAAUGCUUAGAUAUUACACAGAACACCGAUUGCGAAGGCAGCUUGCUAAGCUGUUACUGACGCUGAUGCACGAAAGCGUGGGUAGCGAACAGG
rnacentral:rRNA from 1 species